rnacentral:tRNA from 1 species
AAAAAGAUAAGCUAAAUUUAAGCUAAUGGGUUCAUACCCCAUAAAUGAGAACAUUCUCUCUUUUUA